UACGUAGGUGGCAAGCGUUGUCCGGAUUUACUGGGCGUAAAGGGUGCGUAGGUGGAUAUUUAAGUCAGAUGUGAAAUUCCCGAGCUCAACUUGGGAACUGCAUUUGAAACUGGAUGUCUGGAGUGCAGGAGAGGUAAGUGGAAUUCCUAGUGUAGCGGUGAAAUGCGUAGAGAUUAGGAAGAACACCAGUGGCGAAGGCGACUUACUGGACUGUAACUGACACUGAGGCACGAAAGCGUGGGUAGCAAACAGG
rnacentral:rRNA from 1 species